rnacentral:rRNA from 1 species
GUUGCAGGGUAUAGACCCGAAACCCGGUGAUCUAGCCAUGGGCAGGUUGAAGGUUGGGUAACACUAACUGGAGGACCGAACCGACUAAUGUUGAAAAAUUAGCGGAUGACCUGUGGCUGGGGGUGAAAGGCCAAUCAAACCGGGAGAUAGCUGGUUCUCCCCGAAAGCUAUUUAGGUAGCGCCUCGUGAAUUCAUCUCCGGGGGUAGAGCACUGUUUCGGCUAGGGGGCCAUCCCGGCUUACCAACCCGAUGCAAACUGCGAAUACCGGAGAAUGUUAUCACGGGAGACACACGGCGGGUGCUAACGUCCGUCGUGAAGAGGGAAACAACCCAGACCGCCAGCUAAGGUCCCAAAGUCAUGGUUAAGUGGGAAACGAUGUGGGAAGGCCCAGACAGCCAGGAUGUUGGCUUAGAAGCAGCCAUCAUUUAAAGAAAGCGUAAUAGCUCACUGGUCGAGUCGGCCUGCGCGGAAGAUGUAACGGGGCUAAACCAUGCACCGAAGCUGCGGCAGCGACACUGUGUGUUGUUGGGUAGGGGAGCGUUCUGUAAGCCUGCGAAGGUGGCCUGUGAGGGUUGCUGGAGGUAUCAGAAGUGCGAAUGCUGACAUAAGUAACGAUAAAGCGGGUGAAAAGCCCGCUCGCCGGAAGACCAAGGGUUCCUGUCCAACGUUAAUCGGGGCAGGGUGAGUCGACCCCUAAGGCGAGGCCGAAAGGCGUAGUCGAUGGGAAACGGGUUAAUAUUCCCGUACUUGGUGUUACUGCGAAGGGGGGACGGAGAAGGCUAUGUUGGCCGGGCGACGGUUGUCCCGGUUUAAGCGUGUAGGUGUGUGUUCCAGGUAAAUCCGGUUCACUUUAACACUGAGGCGUGACGACGAGGCACUACGGUGCUGAAGCAACAAAUGCCCUGCUUCCAGGAAAAGCCUCUAAGCAUCAGGUAACAUCAAAUCGUACCCCAAACCGACACAGGUGGUCAGGUAGAGAAUACCAAGGCGCUUGAGAGAACUCGGGUGAAGGAACUAGGCAAAAUGGUGCCGUAACUUCGGGAGAAGGCACGCUGACACGUAGGUGAAGUGAUUUACUCAUGGAGCUGAAGUCAGUCGAAGAUACCAGCUGGCUGCAACUGUUUAUUAAAAACACAGCACUGUGCAAACACGAAAGUGGACGUAUACGGUGUGACGCCUGCCCGGUGCCGGAAGGUUAAUUGAUGGGGUCAGCGCAAGCGAAGCUCCUGAUCGAAGCCCCGGUAAACGGCGGCCGUAACUAUAACGGUCCUAAGGUAGCGAAAUUCCUUGUCGGGUAAGUUCCGACCUGCACGAAUGGCGUAAUGAUGGCCAGGCUGUCUCCACCCGAGACUCAGUGAAAUUGAACUCGCUGUGAAGAUGCAGUGUACCCGCGGCAAGACGGAAAGACCCCGUGAACCUUUACUAUAGCUUGACACUGAACAUUGAGCCUUGAUGUGUAGGAUAGGUGGGAGGCUUUGAAGUGUGGACGCCAGUCUGCAUGGAGCCGACCUUGAAAUACCACCCUUUAAUGUUUGAUGUUCUAACGUGGACCCGUUACCCGGGUUGCGGACAGUGUCUGGUGGGUAGUUUGACUGGGGCGGUCUCCUCCUAAAGAGUAACGGAGGAGCACGAAGGUUGGCUAAUCCUGGUCGGACAUCAGGAGGUUAGUGCAAUGGCAUAAGCCAGCUUGACUGCGAGCGUGACGGCGCGAGCAGGUGCGAAAGCAGGUCAUAGUGAUCCGGUGGUUCUGAAUGGAAGGGCCAUCGCUCAACGGAUAAAAGGUACUCCGGGGAUAACAGGCUGAUACCGCCCAAGAGUUCAUAUCGACGGCGGUGUUUGGCACCUCGAUGUCGGCUCAUCACAUCCUGGGGCUGAAGUAGGUCCCAAGGGUAUGGCUGUUCGCCAUUUAAAGUGGUACGCGAGCUGGGUUUAGAACGUCGUGAGACAGUUCGGUCCCUAUCUGCCGUGGGCGCUGGAGAACUGAGGGGGGCUGCUCCUAGUACGAGAGGACCGGAGUGGACGCAUCACUGGUGUUCGGGUUGUCAUGCCAAUGGCACUGCCCGGUAGCUAAAUGCGGAAGAGAUAAGUGCUGAAAGCAUCUAAGCACGAAACUUGCCCCGAGAUGAGUUCUCCCUGAGACUUAGAGUCUCCUGAAGGAACGUUGAAGACGACGACGUUGAUAGGCCGGGUGUGUAAGCGCAGCGAUGCGUUGA